rnacentral:tRNA from 1 species
AAGAUUUUAAGUUAAAAAAACUAUUAAUCUUCAAAAUUAAAAUUAAUUUACCAUAAUAAUUAAAUCUUG